AUACAGCAUAUUGGCUGUGUACAUUCAAGAACGAGUUUGAUGGGUUGAUCACAUUCAAGGCUUACACGCUUAUCAAGACUAUAAUGGAAAUUGGGGUGUUUGCUAGAUCAAGAUGAGCUUCUUGUAUUGCGUUUCUACUUUGUUGCUGAAAAAAUCAAGGGAGUUUUACGGCAAUGUUUUGACGGUUUUUCUUGGUUACGGAAGAUUAAGAAGGGAACUUGUAUGGCAAUGCACAGGCCAGUUACUUUGAAUAUCUGAUUGAGAGCAAGAAGCAACAUGUUCUGAAAUUUGCACAUCAGAUGCGAAGGGGUACAUUCAGAACAGAUCAUGCAGUGCUGAUGAAGCUGAAAGCACUCGUGCACGCCUUUUAAAUGCAAAAAACAUGGACAAAGUUUGGCUCCUGUGAUGAUCCUUGUCCAGUGAACACAAACAGUUUCUAUUUUUUCAAAACAGGUGGCUCUUUGAGCCCUGUUUGAUCUGCUGGUUACAACGAGAUCAGCCAUGCUCUAUUUAGCACUGCUUUAGUCUGCAGUUGGCUUCCCAGUUCUUGUGUUAUUUGCGGGGUUUUGGUUCUAGU